CCUACGGGUGGCAGCAGUGAGGAAUAUUGGUCAAUGUGCGGGAGCCUGAACCAGCCAAGUCGCGUGAGGGAAGACGGUCCUACGGAUUGUAAACCUCUUUUGCCGGGGAGCAACGGGGUCCUUGCGAGGGCCCAAUGAGAGUACCCGGAGAAAAAGCAUCGGCUAACUCCGUGCCAGCAGCCGCGGUAAUACGGAGGAUGCGAUCGUUAUCCGGAUUUACUGGGUGUAAAGGGAGCGUAGGCGGGCGAGAAAGUUGAAUGUUAAAUCUACCGGCUUAACUGGUAGCUGCGUUCAAAACUUCUUGUCUUGAGUGAAGUAGAGGCAGGCGGAAUUCCUAGUGUAGCGGUGAAAUGCGUAGAUAUUAGGAGGAACACCAGUGGCGAAGGCGGCCUGCUGGGCUUUAACUGACGCUGAGGCUCGAAAGCGUGGGGAGCAAACAGGAUUAGAUACCCUUGUAGUC
rnacentral:rRNA from 1 species